GUGAAACUCAAAGGAAUUGACGGGGGCCCGCACAAGCGGUGGAGCAUGUGGUUUAAUUCGAUGAUACGCGAGGAACCUUACCAGGGCUUGACAUAUAUAGGAUAUAGUUAGAGAUAAUUAUUCCCCGUUUGGGGUCUAUAUACAGGUGCUGCAUGGUUGUCGUCAGCUCGUGCUGUGAGGUGAUGGGU
rnacentral:rRNA from 1 species